ncrna:unclassified sequences IMES-1 RNA motif
UGGCGACUGACUAGCUACCAACUGCAGACGUGAAGUUAGAGGGAAAACCAGACGGAGAGACCGAAGGGUGAAAGCAUUUGCAAGAGUCGAUGAUAAAAAAUAGCUUGCAGAUCCACCAAGGAUUCAGGAGAAAGAAUCCAAGGAGCUAAAGAAAAUCUCACUUUAGACCCCUGAGGAAUCGAUUGAAAGAAA